UCCAGUGAUGAAGGCGGAGGGGCUACACCUGUUCCCAUACCGAACACAGAAGUAAAGUCCUCCAGCGUCGAUGGUACUUGGCGGGCAGCUGCCUGGGAGAGUAGAACGUUGCUGGUU
rfam:Fusibacter sp. 3D3 DNA, contig: 8.